rnacentral:rRNA from 1 species
CCCGUACCCAUCUCGAACACGGAAGUUAAGCUCUUUAGCGUCGAUGGUACUGCAUGGGAGACUGUGUGGGAGAGUAGAACGCUGCCAGAU